rnacentral:rRNA from 1 species
AUGGUUGACGACGGCGAGGCGCAGGCCGUGGGUCUGAAGCAGUUGCUACUUGACUACUACCACGGCGAUAGAGAGAUCAUGGGCGACGAGGUCCGAGAUAUGGCGGUCCGCAACGGUGAGACGGAGAUGAUGCACUCUUCUACAAUUCAGAGGUGGAGUUUCAAGAUGCGUCAGCGCCGGAGUAGUCGGAUCGAGAACUACAAGCCACUGGUGUGGCCAUCCUGCUCCCACGGCGACAAGGGUCUGGAAGUCGUUCGCUCCAUGCUGAAACAGUCGACGGACAAGCCCAUCGAGGACGCCUGUCUCGAGGCGUUUCGCCGGCUCCCGGCGGAUGCCAUGCCAGACCUCGUCGAGUGUGCUUAUCUCGGCGGCCACUGCAUCGGCAUCCUCGAGCCCGUCUCCAACAUCAUCCUCAACAGCCUAAAUCUGCUAUGCCGCCGCCGUGAGGGCAUCUACUCGCCAUCCGAGUACCAGAUUCCGCCAAGACCUAUCAACCCUCAUAUCCGUAACACCUGGUCAGGGAUUGCGUUCGACUCCUAUUGUGCCCUCGUUGCAUUCAUGCAGGUUUAUUUCCGGUAUCUCUCCCAAGAGCAGGCCAGGUUCUACAUCCACCUCUCCGGUGGUGACUUGCUUGUCGCCAUCUGCAUUGCUGAGAUGGAACUGAGACAGUCCACCACCAUCAUGCAAGAAAACCACAUCGCAGUCUGCCACUCUGACAUCUUCCGCGACCGGGCCAAGCUUGCCCUCCGCAUCACAGCAAUCAAAGUCAAUCAUCCGACGCCAGAUGAUCUUUUGCUGCUCUUCCAAGAGCAGCCCACGGAGUCCAUGAGAUCAUUGCUGCUAACAUUGGAGGAAGGGCGCUGCUUAGGCGUCGAUGACGUGGAAACCUUCAUAAAGGUUUUGCACCACCAACACCUCAUGGUUCCCCAUGACCUCACGUUGCCUCAUGCUCCAAGCAGAGGAACAGACUCCGACUCCUGCCCCCGAAGCAGCAUGGCAGCAACGCUUACCUUCCAGCGCCAGGCAGCAUUCAACCUGACCAACAUGCGUUCAUCCAAGACUAUAUUCAGCAAGAUCAGAUCCUGCAUCGACCUCUUCCCAUGGUUCCACAUGCACACUCCGAUGGAGGUUGCCGAUGCAGCCCCCACAUGCCAACACAUUGAAUCAAUCAAGAUGUCUCUUAUGGACACCAUACAUGCGUUUUAUGUCGAAGCUCUCGCCAAGUUGCCCAGCUCUCAUCCCCAAAGUCUUCUUCGUGGUAUACUGGUGGCAGGGCACUGCUAUGGCCUAUUGGACCCUGUCUCCAACAUUAUCAUCCAUGCUUCACUAACGGAGAGUUCUCUGACAGCUGGGCCACGAUCUGAGACGUCGGAUCGUGGGCUGUCACGGACUCGGACGUGGGUCGAGCCCACGUCUCUCCACGCGGCUGCGCCUAUAUAA